UUGCACUCUGGGCAGGCUAACCCUUGUGAUUCACCCUGGGAGAACUGUCCAGGGGAAGACCUGUUCAUUGCACUCUGGGCAGGCUGACUCCUAAGAGUUUCCCUCAGUGUGGGAAACUCGACUGCAUAAUUAUGUGGCAAUGGUAGACUGCAUUCACGCUUCUCCCAU